UACAGAGGGUGCGAGCGUUGUUCGGAAUUAUUGGGCGUAAAGGGCGCGUAGGCGGUGCGGUAAGUCACCUGUGAAAUCUCCUGGCUCAACCGGGAGCUUGCAGGCGAAACUGCCGUGCUGGAGUAUGGGAGAGGUGCGUGGAAUUCCUGGUGUAGCGGUGAAAUGCGUAGAUAUCAGGAGGAACACCUGUGGCGAAAGCGGCGCACUGGACCAUAACUGACGCUGAGGCGCGAAAGCUAGGGGAGCAAACAGG
rnacentral:rRNA from 1 species